CUGGGAGUGGCAGUUGGGUCUUGUGACUAGCACUUCCUUCCUGCUGGGUGUGGCAGUGGGGUCUUCUGACUAGCACUUCCUUCCUGCCAUGGGGACUUGCUGGCUGGUGUUGGAGGAGAGAGGAGCUUCUUCAGCCGAGUCUGGUGUGGUGUGCCUCUUCUUGAUUCAGCCCGAAGACACAGGCUUCUGAAGGGAAGAUAGCUUAGCACCCUCCUGCACUUGAAAAAGAGAAUUUGGUUCAAUGAGUUCUGUAGGAGAGGUGUUCUGAGUACCCGAAGAGCCCUGAGAAUUUUAUCAUCAUCAUCAUCAUCAUCAUCAUCAUCAUCAUCAUCAUCAUCAUCAUCAUCAUCAUCAUCAUCUCCAGAAUGCUGCCUUCCUUACAAUUUUACUUCUUUGAUGAUGGCAGAGCCAGCACUGGCCAAAGGUAGAUCUGGAACAGAAAGCAGCCUGGGAGAACAAGUGAUAAAGAGAAGAAUGAUCCAAUCCUCAUCUGUUUCUCAAACUGGUGUGCACAGCACUUUUGUAGGACUUCACCAGAUCUCUCCUGGAAGGACCUGACGUUGAGGUUUAGAAAGGCUUUCUCCUGAGACCAACAGAAGGAAAGAAAUCAUUUGGAUCUGGCUGCUGGCAGCUUGGAAUCAAGAAGAUUGAAGAUAGACUGACCAACUGAAGAUCCUGGCCGAAUUGAUUGGACUCCUGGUGUGAGAAUUGGCUAUUGGGGAAUUUACUGCUUAGAUUAAUAGGUGUAGAUAGUUUAUAGAUAUUAGAUGUUAGAUAACUAGUAUAAGUUUCCUCCUAAACCCUUGUUUCUUCCUCCCCUUCCCAACCAAUAAAUCUUAAUU
rnacentral:lncRNA from 1 species